GACGAACGCUGGCGGCGUGCCUAAUACAUGCAAGUCGAGCGAACCAAUAAGAAGCUUGCUUUUUGUUGGUUAGCGGCGGACGGGUGAGUAACACGUGGGUAACCUGCCUGUAAGACCGGGAUAACUCCGGGAAACCGGUGCUAAUACCGGAUAGAUUAUCUUUCCGCAUGGAGAGAUAAGGAAAGAUGGCUAUUGCCAUCACUUACAGAUGGGCCCGCGGCGCAUUAGCUAGUUGGUGAGGUAACGGCUCACCAAGGCGACGAUGCGUAGCCGACCUGAGAGGGUGAUCGGCCACACUGGGACUGAGACACGGCCCAGACUCCUACGGGAGGCAGCAGUAGGGAAUCUUCCGCAAUGGACGAAAGUCUGACGGAGCAACGCCGCGUGAGCGAAGAAGGUCUUCGGAUCGUAAAGCUCUGUUGUUAGGGAAGAACAAGUAUCGUAGGAAAUGCCGGUACCUUGACGGUACCUGACGAGAAAGCCACGGCUAACUACGUG
rnacentral:rRNA from 1 species